UACGAAGGGGGCUAGCGUUGCUCGGAAUCACUGGGCGUAAAGCGCACGUAGGCGGCUUUUUAAGUCAGGGGUGAAAUCCUGGAGCUCAACUCCAGAACUGCCUUUGAUACUGAGAAGCUUGAGUCCGGGAGAGGUGAGUGGAACUGCGAGUGUAGAGGUGAAAUUCGUAGAUAUUCGCAAGAACACCAGUGGCGAAGGCGGCUCACUGGCCCGGUACUGACGCUGAGGUGCGAAAGCGUGGGGAGCAAACAGGAUUAGAAACCCCCGUAGUCC
rnacentral:rRNA from 1 species